rnacentral:lncRNA from 1 species
CUCUCCCCCAGCCACGCGCUCCGAAUCCUGCAUGGCCUCAGUGAGGAAAUACAGCGUCACCUCAGAGACCUUCAGAGGGAGAGGGAGGCCCAGAGGUGCUCUGUCCUCCACCUUCGGAGAGAGAAGGAGCAUGAGCUGAGGCAGCAGCGAGAGUGGAUUCACAUGGAGAAGGAGGCAGGUCCGAGAGCCCUGAAGGAACAGCUGAUUCAGAGACAAAGCAAAUAUCCAUACUUCUGCUCCACCUCUUCCCUGUCCUCAAGCACCAUGCCCUGCCUCCGGCAGCAAAACUUCAGGCGCUUCAGGGUCCUGCACCAAAUCCAAAACUGCAUGCAAGAGGUACAGGCAGAGAACACCACCCACCGCACGGGCAACCUGGAGAACCUGACUGUCCUGACAGGAGAGCUGGGCACGCAGCAAGAGAAAAGGUAUGGGGACACCCUGGGUAGGUGUGACUAUCUCUUGCCACAGCCUCAUGAAAGGAUGAAUCCAAAGCAAGCAAGUGAUGCAGAGCACCACUGCAGCAUGCCCAGCCCAGCUGGGACAUGUAGCCUGCGUCAAGUGCACAGAGCACUCCAAGGAGACAGUGAAGCGCAGUGA